AGGGAGUACACACUUGCCUCAUGUUGUGUAAGAGGGUGAGACAGUGUGUCCUCCUUCA
rnacentral:pre_miRNA from 1 species